CCUACGGGUGGCAGCAGUGAGGAAUAUUGGUCAAUGGGCGCGAGCCUGAACCAGCCAUGUAGCGUGAAGGAUGACUGCCCUACGGGUUGUAAACUUCUUUUAUACAGGAAUAAAGUGAGGCACGUGUGCCUUUCUGUAUGUACUUUAUGAAUAAGGAUCGGCUAACUCCGUGCCAGCAGCCGCGGUAAUACGGAGGAUCCGAGCGUUAUCCGGAUUUAUUGGGUUUAAAGGGUGCGUAGUUGGGAUGUUAAGUCAGUUGUGAAAGUUCGCGGCUCAAGCGGAAAAUUGCAAUUGAUACUGGCAGUCGUGAGUACAGUUGAGGUAGGCGGAAUUUGUGGUGUAGCGGUGAAAUGCUUAGAUAUCACGAAGAACACCGAUUGCGAAGGCAGCUUACUAAGCUGCCACUGACAUUGAUGCACGAAAGUGUGGGUAUCAAACAGGAUUAGAUACCCCAGUAGUC
rnacentral:rRNA from 1 species